rnacentral:rRNA from 1 species
UUGUCUCAAAGAUUAAGCCAUGCAUGUCUCAGUACAAGCCGAAUUAAGGUGAAACCGCGAAAGGCUCAUUAAAUCAGUUAUGGUUCCUUAGAUCGUACCCACAUUUACUUGGAUAACUGUGGUAAUUCUAGAGCUAAUACAUGCAAACAGAGCUCCGACCGGAGACGGAAGGAGCGCUUUUAUUAGAUCAAAACCAAUCGGUGGCGGUCCCCGUCAUCGUACAACUUGGUGACUCUGAAUAACUUUACGCUGAUCGCACGGUCUUGCACCGGCGACGCAUCUUUCAAAUGUCUGCCUUAUCAACUGUCGAUGGUAGGUUCUGCGCCUACCAUGGUUGUAACGGGUAACGGGGAAUCAGGGUUCGAUUCCGGAGAGGGAGCCUGAGAAACGGCUACCACAUCCAAGGAAGGCAGCAGGCGCGCAAAUUACCCACUCCCGGCACGGGGAGGUAGUGACGAAAAAUAACGAUACGGGACUCAUCCGAGGCCCCGUAAUCGGAAUGAGUACACUCUAAACCCUUUAACGAGGAUCAAUUGGAGGGCAAGUCUGGUGCCAGCAGCCGCGGUAAUUCCAGCUCCAAUAGCGUAUAUUAAAGUUGUUGCGGUUAAAAAGCUCGUAGUCGAAUCUGUGUCCCGCGCCACCGGUUCAUCGUUCGCGGUGUUAACUGGUGUGCCGCGGGACGUCCUGCCGGUGGGCUUAGCUCGCGAGGGCGGCCCAACUCAAUCCCGCCGCGGUGCUCUUCAUUGAGUGUCGAGGUGGGCCGGCACGUUUACUUUGAACAAAUUAGAGUGCUUAAAGCAGGCUAAAACUUCGCCUGAAUAUGUGUGCAUGGAAUAAUGGAAUAGGACCUCGGUUCUAUUUUGUUGGUUUUCGGAACCCCGAGGUAAUGAUUAAUAGGAACGGAUGGGGGCAUUCGUAUUGCGACGUUAGAGGUGAAAUUCUUGGAUCGUCGCAAGACGGACAGAAGCGAAAGCAUUUGCCAAAAACGCUUUCAUUGAUCAAGAACGAAAGUUAGAGGUUCGAAGGCGAUCAGAUACCGCCCUAGUUCUAACCAUAAACGAUGCCAGCUAGCGAUCCGCCGACGUUCCUCCGAUGACUCGGCGGGCAGCUUCCGGGAAACCAAAGCUUUUGGGUUCCGGGGGAAGUAUGGUUGCAAAGCUGAAACUUAAAGGAAUUGACGGAAGGGCACCACCAGGAGUGGAGCCUGCGGCUUAAUU